rnacentral:rRNA from 1 species
GACGAACGCUGGCGGCGUGCUUAACACAUGCAAGUCGAACGGAAAGGCCCUGCUUUUGUGGGGCGCUCGAGUGGCGAACGGGUGAGUAACACGUGAGUAACCUGCCCUUGACUUUGGGAUAACUUCAGGAAACUGGGGCUAAUACCGGAUAGGAGCUCCUGCUGCAUGGUGGGGGUUGGAAAGUUUCGGCGGUUGGGGAUGGACUCGCGGCUUAUCAGCUUGUUGGUGGGGUAGUGGCUUACCAAGGCUUUGACGGGUAGCCGGCCUGAGAGGGUGACCGGCCACAUUGGGACUGAGAUACGGCCCAGACUCCUACGGGAGGCAGCAGUGGGGAAUAUUGCACAAUGGGCGGAAGCCUGAUGCAGCAACGCCGCGUGCGGGAUGACGGCCUUCGGGUUGUAAACCGAUUUCGCCUGUGACGAAGCGUGAGUGACGGUAAUGGGUAAAGAAGCACCGGCUAACUACGUG